rnacentral:rRNA from 1 species
GCAGCGAUCUCUUCGGAGAGACCGGCGGACGGGCUGAGUAACGCGUGGCGUAACUGCCCUGUACACACGGAUAACAUACCGAAAGUAAUUACUAAUACGGGAUAACAUACGAAAGUCGCAUGGCUUUUGUAUCAAAGCUCCGGCGUACAGGAUGGACCCGCGUCUGAUUAGCUAGUUGGUAAGGUAAUGGCUUACCAAGGCAACGAUCAGUAGCCGACCUGAGAGGGUGAUCGGCCACACUGGAACUGAGACACGGUCCAGACUCCUACGGGAGGCAGCAGUGGGGAAUAUUGCACAAUGGGCGAAACUGGAUGCAGCAACGCCGCGUGACAUGGAAGGCCUUCGGGUCGUAAAGCUCUGUCCUCAAGGAAGAUAAUGACGGUACUUGAGGAGGAAGCCCCGGCUAACUACGUGCCAGCAGCCGCGUAAUACGUAGGGGCUAGCGUAUCCGGAAUACUGGCGUAAGGUGGUAGUGUUUUAGUCAGAGUGAAGCUACGCUCACGUAGUAGCUUGAACUAGAGACUGAGUGCAGAGAGAGAGUAGAUCCUAGUGUAGCGUGAAUGCGUAGAUAUCAGAGAUACCAGUAGCGGAGCGCUCUCUGGACUGUACUGACCCUGAGCACGACAGCGUGGGGAGCAAACAGGAUAGAUACCUGGUAGUCACGCCGUAACGAUGAGUACUAGUGCCGGUACCCCCUCGGUGCCGCACGUACGCAUUAGUACUCGCUGGAGUACGCUCGCAGAGUGAAACUCAAGGAUUGACGGACCGCACAGUAGCGAGCAUGUGUUUAUCGAGCACGCGAGAACUACCUAGCUGACAUCCACUGACCUCUCCUCUACAUCGGAGAUUUCUUCGUGGGACAGUGGUGACAGGUGUGCAUGGUUGUCGUCAGCUCGUGUCGUGAGAUGUUGGGUUAAGUCCCGCAACGAGCGCAACCCUUGCCUUUAGUUGCCAGCAUUAAGUUGGGCACUCUAGAGGGACUGCCGAGGAUAACUCGGAGGAAGGUGGGGAUGACGUCAAAUCAUCAUGCCCCUUAUGCUUAGGGCUACACACGUGCUACAAUGGGUGGUACAGAGGGUUGCCAAGCCGCGAGGUGGAGCUAAUCCCUUAAAGCCAUUCUCAGUUCGGAUUGUAGGCUGAAACUCGCCUACAUGAAGCUGGAGUUACUAGUAAUCGCAGAUCAGAAUGCUGCGGUGAAUGCGUUCCCGGGUCUUGUACACACCGCCCGUCACACCAUGGAAGUUGGGGCGCCCGAAGCCGGUUAGCUCCUUUUAGGAAGCG